rnacentral:lncRNA from 1 species
AGACAUUGACAGCUCAAUGGAGCAUUGCUUUGCAGCCCCUGUAAUGGUAAUCAUAUGAAAGCAUUUGCCCCACCCCAGGGUGACCGUGGGAACCUGGAGAAGUUAAGAAAUGAAUGUAAUAGACUGAACUGCAAGCUGUGGCAGUCUGGGUCUGGAAGGAGAAGAAGCUGUAGAAGAUAUUUUCCUUCAGUAGCUUCUCCACAGCCAUGGUGGGAGAUGGCAGAAACAGCCAGCAUCACUUCUGGGAGGUGGACCACAGAAGAGAAAAAGAAACAACAGACCCAAUAGGGUCUCGCAUGGUUCUGAACACAUAGUAAAUGCUGAAUUACUAUUUCCUAAAUUAUCAUAAAGCUGAGAAGAAUCAUGAUUCUCAAACUUCACCUUGGAAUUAAAAUGGAUUUCCUUGAGAAGCACAUAUGAGGUAUAAAACAAAGCCAGGAGAAGCAUGAUAUUAAGAUAAACCCAUGAACACCCCUAAGUCC